UACGUAGGGUGCAAGCGUUGUCCGGAAUUAUUGGGCGUAAAGAGCUCGUAGGCGGUUUGUUGCGUCGGCUGUGAAAUCCCGAGGCUCAACCUCGGGUCUGCAGUCGAUACGAGCAAACUAGAGUGUUGCAGGGGAGACUGGAAUUCCUGGUGUAGCGGUGAAAUGCGCAGAUAUCAGGGAGGAACACCGGUGGCGAAGGCGGGUCUCUGGGCAACAACUGACGCUGGAGGAG
rnacentral:rRNA from 1 species